UAGUUAGUUGGUGGGUAAAGGCCUACCAAGACAAUGAUGCAUAGCCGAGUUGAGAGACUGAUCGGCCACAUUGGGACUGAGACACGGCCCAAACUCCUACGGGAGGCUGCAGUAGGAAUCUUCCACAAUGGGCGAAAGCCUGAUGGAGCAACGCCGCGUGUGUGAUGAAGGCUUUCGGGUCGUAAAGCACUGUUGUAUGGGAAGAAAAGUUAAGGUAGGGAAUGACCUUAGCCUGACGGUACCAUACCAGAAAGGGACGGCUAAAUACGUGCCAGCAGCCGCGGUAAUACGUAUGUCCCGAGCGUUAUCCGGAUUUAUUGGGCGUAAAGCGAGCGCAGACGGUUGGUUAAGUCUGAUGUGAAAGCCCGGAGCUCAACUCCGGAAAGGCAUUGGAAACUGGUUAACUUGAGUGCAGUAGAGGUAAGUGGAACUCCAUGUGUAGCGGUGGAAUGCGUAGAUAUAUGGAAGAACACCAGCGGCGAAGGCGGCUUACUGGACUGUAACUGACGUUGAGGCUCGAAAGUGUGGGUAGCAAACAGGAUUAGAUACCCUGGUAGUCCACACCGUAAACGAUGAACACUAGGUGUUAGGAGGUUUCCGCCUCUUAGUGCCGAAGCUAACGCAUUAAGUGUUCCGCCUGGGGAGUACGACCGCAAGGUUGAAACUCAAAGGAAUUGACGGGGACCCGCACAAGCGGUGGAGCAUGUGGUUUAAUUCGAAGCAACGCGAAGAACCUUACCAGGUCUUGACAUCCUUUGAAGCUUUUAGAAAUAGAAGUGUUCUCUUCGGAGACAAAGUGACAGGUGGUGCAUGGUCGUCGUCAGCUCGUGUCGUGAGAUGUUGGGUUAAGUCCCGCAACGAGCGCAACCCUUAUUGUUAGUUGCCAGCAUUCAGAUGGGCACUCUAGCGAGACUGCCGGUGACAAACCGGAGGAAGGCGGGGACGACGUCAGAUCAUCAUGCCCCUUAUGACCUGGGCUACACACGUGCUACAAUGGCGUAUACAACGAGUUGCCAACCUGCGAAGGUGAGCUAAUCUCUUAAAGUACGUCUCAGUUCGGACUGCAGUCUGCAACUCGACUGCACGAAGUCGGAAUCGCUAGUAAUCGCGGAUCAGCACGCCGCGGUGAAUACGUUCCCGGGUCUUGUACACACCGCCCGUCACACCAUGGAAGUUUGUAAUGCCCAAAGCCGGUGGCCUAACCGUAAGGAGGAACCGUCUAAGGCAGA
rnacentral:rRNA from 1 species